UACGGGGGGGCAAGCGUUGUUCGGAAUUACUGGGCGUAAAGGGCUCGUAGGUGGCCAACUAAGUCAGACGUGAAAUCCCUCGGCUUAACCGGGGAACUGCGUCUGAUACUGGAUGGCUUGAGUUUGGGAGAGGGAUGCGGAAUUCCAGGUGUAGCGGUGAAAUGCGUAGAUAUCUGGAGGAACACCGGUGGCGAAGGGCGGGC
rnacentral:rRNA from 1 species